GAUGAACGCUGGCGGCGUGCCUAAUACAUGCAAGUCGAGCGAACGGACGAGAAGCUUGCUUUUCUGAUGUUAGCGGCGGACGGGUAAGUAACACGUGGAUAACCUACCUAUAAGACUGGGAUAACUUCGGGAAACCGGAGCUAAUACCGGAUAAUAUUUUGAACCGCAUGGUUCAAAAGUGAAAGACGGUCUUGCUGUCACUUAUAGAUGGAUCCGCGCUGCAUUAGCUAGUUGGUAAGGUAACGGCUUACCAAGGCAACGAUGCAUAGCCGACCUGAGAGGGUGAUCGGCCACACUGGAACUGAGACACGGUCCAGACUCCUACGGGAGGCAGCAGUAGGGAAUCUUCCGCAAUGGGCGAAAGCCUGACGGAGCAACGCCGCGUGAGUGAUGAAGGUCUUCGGAUCGUAAAACUCUGUUAUUAGGGAAGAACAUAUGUGUAAGUAACUGUGCACAUCUUGACGGUACCUAAUCAGAAAGCCACGGCUAACUACGUG
rnacentral:rRNA from 1 species